AGAGUUUGAUCCUGGCUCAGGAUGAACGCUAGCGGGAGGCCUAACACAUGCAAGCCGAGCGGUAGAGUCUCUUCGGAGACUUGAGAGCGGCGUACGGGUGCGUAACACGUGUGCAACCUGCCUCUAUCUGGGGGAUAGCCUUCCGAAAGGAAGAUUAACACCCCAUAAUAUAAUGAUUGGCAUCAAUUAUUAUUGAAAACUCCGGUGGAUAGAGAUGGGCACGCGCAAGAUUAGAUAGUUGGUGGGGUAACGGCCCACCAAGUCGAUGAUCUUUAGGGGUCCUGAGAGGGAGAUCCCCCACACUGGUACUGAGACACGGACCAGACUCCUACGGGAGGCAGCAGUGAGGAAUAUUGGACAAUGGGUGGAAGCCUGAUCCAGCCAUCCCGCGUGAAGGACGACGGCCCUAUGGGUUGUAAACUUCUUUUGUACAGGGAUAAACCUCCCCUCGUGAGGGGAGCUGAAGGUACUGUACGAAUAAGCACCGGCUAACUCCGUGCCAGCAGCCGCGGUAAUACGGAGGGUGCAAGCGUUAUCCGGAUUUAUUGGGUUUAAAGGGUCCGUAGGCGGGCCCGUAAGUCAGUGGUGAAAUCUCGCAGCUUAACUGCGAAACUGCCAUUGAUACUGCGGGUCUUGAGUGAAUUUGAAGUGGCUGGAAUAAGUAGUGUAGCGGUGAAAUGCAUAGAUAUUACUUAGAACACCGAUUGCGAAGGCAGGUCACUAAGAUUCAACUGACGCUGAGGGACGAAAGCGUGGGGAGCGAACAGGAUUAGAUACCCUGGUAGUCCACGCCGUAAACGAUGCUAACUCGUUUUCGGGCCGCAAGGCUCGGAGACCAAGCGAAAGUGAUAAGUUAGCCACCUGGGGAGUACGUCCGCAAGGAUGAAACUCAAAGGAAUUGACGGGGGCCCGCACAAGCGGUGGAUUAUGUGGUUUAAUUCGAUGAUACGCGAGGAACCUUACCAAGACUUAAAUGGGAAUUGACAGAUUUAGAAAUAGAUCCUCCUUCGGGCAAUUUUCAAGGUGCUGCAUGGUUGUCGUCAGCUCGUGCCGUGAGGUGUUAGGUUAAGUCCU
rnacentral:rRNA from 1 species